UGACCAAUCCAGCCCGGCUGGGUGUUGGGCCUCGCCGUCACAGCGGGCCUUAAAAUUAGUGGCAGUGCUCUUAGGCUCUACGCGUAGUAAAUUUUCUCGCUAUGGAGUUCUGGGAGAUGCUUGCCAUCAAUCCCAAUUUUCUUA
rnacentral:misc_RNA from 1 species